AAAUAGUAUGGCAGUCCCUCUAAAAAUUAAAAACGAAAUUGCUAUAUAACCCAGCAAUUCCACUUCUGGGGAUAAACCCAAAAGAUUUUAAAGCAGGGUCUUAAAGAGAGAUCUGUACACCCCUAUUCAUAGCAUCAUUAUUUACAAUAGCUAUAAGAUGGAAGUAAUCCAAGUGUCCAUUGAAGGAUAAAUAGAUAAGCAAAAUGUGGUAUAUCCAUAAUGAAAUAUUAUCCAGCUUUAAAAGGACAGGAAAUUCUAUCAUGUAGUACAGUAUAAAUAAAAUUUGAGGACAUUAUACUAAUUGAAAUAAGCCAGUUACAUAAAGAAAAUUCUAUAUAAUUCCACUUACAUGAGGUACCUAAAGUCAUCAAUUUCACAGAGACAUAAAGUAGAAGAAUGGUGUUUACCAGCGACUAGGAAGAAAGGGGAAUGGGGAGUUGUUGUUUAAUGGGCGUAGACCUUCAGUUUUCCAAAUGAAAAGAGUUCUAGAGAUUAGUUGUACAACUAUGUGAAGUACUUAACAGUACUACACUGUACACUUUAAAAUGGUUAAGAUGGUAAAUCUUAUCUUAGGUGCACUUUAUCACAAUUUAAAAAAUGGUAAAGGCCAACUAUGAAGAAAAUAAAACAGUAAUAAAACUA